rnacentral:rRNA from 1 species
AGCGUAGGUGGCUUGAUAAGUCAGAUGUGAAAUCCCCGGGCUUAACCUGGGAACUGCAUCUGAUACUGUUAGGCUAGAAUAGGUGAGAGGAAGGUAGAAUUCCAGGUGUAGCGGUGAAAUGCGUAGAGAUCUGGAGGAAUACCGAUGGCGAAGGCAGCCUUCUGGCAUCAUAUUGACACUGAGGUUCGAAGCGUGGUAGCAAACA